rnacentral:tRNA from 1 species
UGCCCCAUGGCUGAGUUGGUUACAGCGUCCGACUGUUACAUGGGAUUUGUACGACAUCGGAAGGUCGAGAGUUCGAGCCUCUCUGGGGCAG